rnacentral:rRNA from 2 species
UUGCUCCCGGAUGUUAGCGGCGGACGGGUGAGUAACACGUGGGUAACCUGCCUGUAAGACUGGGAUAACUCCGGGAAACCGGAGCUAAUACCGGAUAGUUCCUUGAACCGCAUGGUUCAAGGAUGAAAGACGGUUUCGGCUGUCACUUACAGAUGGACCCGCGGCGCAUUAGCUAGUUGGUGGGGUAAUGGCUCACCAAGGCAACGAUGCGUAGCCGACCUGAGAGGGUGAUCGGCCACACUGGGACUGAGACACGGCCCAGACUCCUACGGGAGGCAGCAGUAGGGAAUCUUCCGCAAUGGACGAAAGUCUGACGGAGCAACGCCGCGUGAGUGAUGAAGGUUUUCGGAUCGUAAAGCUCUGUUGUUAGGGAAGAACAAGUGCGAGAGUAACUGCUCGCACCUUGACGGUACCUAACCAGAAAGCCACGGCUAACUACGUGCCAGCAGCCGCGGUAAUACGUAGGUGGCAAGCGUUGUCCGGAAUUAUUGGGCGUAAAGGGCUCGCAGGCGGUUUCUUAAGUCUGAUGUGAAAGCCCCCGGCUCAACCGGGGAGGGUCAUUGGAAACUGGGAAACUUGAGUGCAGAAGAGGAGAGUGGAAUUCCACGUGUAGCGGUGAAAUGCGUAGAGAUGUGGAGGA